rnacentral:rRNA from 1 species
UACAGAGGGUGCGAGCGUUAAUCGGAAUUACUGGGCGUAAAGCGCGUGUAGGCUGCUCUGCAAGUCGGAUGUGAAAGCCCUGGGCUCAACCUAGGAAGUGCACUCGAAACUGCAGAGCUGGAGUCCUGGAGAGGAAGGCGGAAUUCUCGGUGUAGAGGUGAAAUUCGUAGAUAUUCGGAAGAACACCAGUGGCGAAGGCGGGUCUCUGGACAGUUCCUGACACUGAGGCACGAAGGCCAGGGGAGCAAACGGG